GACCGCUGUACGGGAGGCAGCUGCCUUCCCUCUCCUCCCCCAGUCCACCCUGCACCCCCCAUGUAAAUUUCAUGAUUGCUUUCCGUGAUGUCAUUUUGAAAGAGGACAGACAAUAGCUGUGGGGAAAGAAAAUGAGUUCCGAGGUGAGCUGUUAAAUCAGAGGUGGACACACGGAGGCAAGGCCAGCAGCUGCAGGACCUCAAGACACCUGGGCAGACACUGCAAGAUGCUCUCCAGCAAGGAUCCAGCUGUGACUCAGGGCAUGGCUCAAGGACAGUGAUGGCGUAGGGUGUAGGCAAGGAGGGCUAUGCAGUUGUAGUGGGAACUUCAUUUGGGGGUGCUUGUGUUUUACUCUCAAAACCCAACCUUUUUCUUUUGAAUCUGGUGGCGAGAAUGUACAUUUUAAUGGGUCUGUUAUAGACAACUUGCUGAGCACCUCCGCUCAUAUUUUGGCUCCCGCAGGAUUAUCAGUGCUCUGCUGAUCCAUGUUGGAGCCUGGGGCACAAGGAAGAGUCAGUAAUAUGGAUCCUGUCUUUAUUUAAGGUUUUGGUAUCUUGUUUAUUAGGGGUUUUUUGCAUCAUGUUGAUGUUUCUAAAUAUUGAAUUAAAAUAUUAUUUAUCUUGA
rnacentral:misc_RNA from 1 species